rnacentral:lncRNA from 1 species
UCAAACAAAUGGAGUUCCAUAACAUUUUAUCAAAAGUAAAGGGUAAGACAGCCUAGGCAAGGAGAGGGCUUUUGGGUUGCAGGAGAAAUAAUGGGGGACGAGGGAGAAGAGAGAGAAAGGGUACACGUUUGAGAGGGAGAUGGAAAUAAAGAGAGGAGAGAGAGGGAAAAGCCGAAGGAAAGAGAGAGGGGGAGAUGGAAAUAGAGAGAGGGAAAGCCAAAAGCGGAGUACGGGGUAAUUUAUGGUUUUCUUGUUUAAAAGGAUACAGGGGUAAAUUGAAAAAUAGGAGGGUGACCUGUUGAAUAGGUUACCAGG